AAAGUCGUAACAAGGUUUCCGUAGGUGAACCUGCGGAAGGAUCAUUAACACUGAACUUUUUUUUGGCAACGGUGCAAGCCGUCUCCAAAGAAAAAUCCUAUCCACCCCUUAAACGAAUCGAUCAUCCCUAUUUUCUCUUCUUUAUCUCACUUUUUUUACCCCAUAUACCAAAUGCGAUAGACUGAUAUCAUUUUUUAUGAUCAUUGAUUCAUUAAUGAUUUUUAAAAACAACUCUUAGCAACGGAUAUCUUGGCUCUC
rnacentral:misc_RNA from 1 species